GAAUGAAAACCCCGGGGGGCACAGGCCAGCUCCGGCUGGGGUAAGGACACUCGAGGGCAGGGAUUCCACCUGCGGAUCGCGUGCGUCCGAGACCAUGGCUGGGAAGACUGAGCUCCCCCACGCAUAGCAGCUGGCUGCAGAGACCUGCAGUACAGACACAAAGCAAAGGCGGGUCACUAAUGCGCAGACGCCAAGCAUCUUCCUUGUCGUGGCCAGACUGCAGCGACUGGGCGAAGGGGCCUGAUGAACGUUGAUUGAUGCCAGUAGCCAUCUAACUGCCAAUUAAUGACAUCGUGGUGAUUCGACUGAACAAUCGCUGCCCUUGGACAUGGAGUUUCACUAGACUUAGAUGUAAUGAAUAAUUAUACUCUCUAAUAAACCAGUAAAGUUGCACUUUG